UUAGAGGACAAAUGUAGCUUAAG
rnacentral:piRNA from 1 species